rnacentral:rRNA from 1 species
AACGAACGCUGGCGGCAGGCCUAACACAUGCAAGUCGAGCGAGGUAGCAAUACCUAGCGGCGGACGGGUGAGUAACGCGUGGGAACGUACCCUUUGCUACGGAAUAGCCCCGGGAAACUGGGAGUAAUACCGUAUGUGCCCUUCGGGGGAAAGAUUUAUCGGCAAAGGAUCGGCCCGCGUUGGAUUAGGUAGUUGGUGGGGUAAUGGCCUACCAAGCCGACGAUCCAUAGCUGGUUUGAGAGGAUGAUCAGCCACACUGGGACUGAGACACGGCCCAGACUCCUACGGGAGGCAGCAGUGGGGAAUAUUGGACAAUGGGCGCAAGCCUGAUCCAGCAAUGCCGCGUGUGUGAAGAAGGCCUGCGGGUUUGUAAAAGCACUUUCAGUGGGGAAGGAACAGAUUCGGGUCAAUACCCCGGACGCCUGACGUUACCCACAGAAGAAGCACCGGCUAACUCCGUG